GUGCCAGCAGCCGCGGUAAUACGUAGGGUGCGAGCGUUAAUCGGAAUUACUGGGCGUAAAGGGUGCGUAGGCGGAUAUGUAAGUUAGAUGUGAAAUCCCCGAGCUUAACUUGGGAACAGCAUUUAAGACUGCGUAUCUAGAGUCUGUAAGAGGGGGGUAGAAUUCCGAGUGUAGCAGUGAAAUGCGUAGAGAUUCGGAGGAACACCGGUGGCGAAGGCGGCCCCCUGGGAUAAGACUGACGCUGAGGCACGAAAGCGUGGGUAGCAAACAGGAUUAGAUACCCCUGUAGUCC
rnacentral:rRNA from 1 species